GAAAUGUAUGAAAGGAGAGAAAGCAUUCCCCUUUGACAAGGAUAGAAGAAGCUCUUAGGCCUGAUGACACACAUGUGCAUAGGGUUAAGGCAUUGCCACCUGCUUAAAAUAAU
ensembl:snRNA